rnacentral:rRNA from 1 species
UACGUAGGGUGCGAGCGUUAAUCGGAAUUACUGGGCGUAAAGUGUGCGCAGGUGGCCUUGCAAGUCGAGUGUGAAAUCCCCGGGCUUAACUUGGGAAUUGCGCUCGAAACUACGAGGCUUGAGUGUGGCAGAGGGUCUCGGAAUUCCCGGUGUAGAGGUGAAAUUCGUAGAUAUCGGGAGGAACACCAGUGGCGAAGGCGGAGACCUGGGCCGAUACUGACGCUGAGGUGCGAAAGCGUGGGGAGCAAACAGG